rnacentral:rRNA from 1 species
GACGAACGCUGGCGGCGUGCUUAACACAUGCAAGUCGAACGGAAAGGCCCUGCUUUUGUGGGGUGCUCGAGUGGCGAACGGGUGAGUAACACGUGAGUAACCUGCCCUUGACUUUGGGAUAACUUCAGGAAACUGGGGCUCAUACCGGAUAGGAGCUCCUGCUGCAUGGUGGGGGUUGGAAAGUUUCGGCGGUUGGGGAUGGACUCGCGGCUUAUCAGCUUGUUUGUGGGGUAGUGGCUUACCAAGGCUUUGACGGGUAGCCGGCCUGAGAGGGUGACCGGGGACAUGGGGACUGAGAUACGGAGCAGACUCCAACGGGAGGCAGCAGUGGGGAAUAUGGCACAGUGGGGGGAAGCCAGAGGCAGCAACGCCGGGUGCGGGAUGACGGCCUUCGGGGUGUAAACCGCUGUCGAAGGUGACGAAGCGGGAGUGACGGUAAUGGGUAAAGAAGCACCGGCUAACUACGUG